rnacentral:SRP_RNA from 1 species
GCCAGGCAGGGUGGUGCGUGCCUGUAAUCCCAGCUACUCUGGAGGCUGAGGCAGGAGAAUUGCUUGAACCCGGGAGGCAGAGGUUGCAGUGAGCCAAGAUCCUGCCACUGCACUCCAGCCUGGGUGAUAGAGCGAGAUGCUGUCUCAA